rnacentral:lncRNA from 1 species
AAGAAGCAAGAGAGAGCUCGUGAACACCUUAAAUUUCUCUACAAGUUUCAAGCUUCAAGCAAUCAAGUUUAAGUUUAAGAAAUCAAGUUCAAACUCAAGAACGAAGAACGAAGCAAUGUCAAAUUCAAGCAAUUAAGCUCAAGCUCAAGGUUAAGAACAAGAUUAUCGUUCGUGAAAACAAACAUAGAUUCUUUACUAUUGAAAAGAAGAUCAGAGGACUCAUAGAGAUUGUAG